AUGACUAGCUUUGUGCUGUUGAACUUGGAAAUCGAAACUCAAAGUACAAGGUCUGUUAAUGUUCCGCUUGGAAAUUCAAAAGAAAGUCCAUCUAAAACAGUCUUUCUUUGCGGCAAGAAAAUUUAUGAGCCAAAAUUGUUUUCCGUAAAAUAUGGAAGUUGGCUUUGCAAUCAAAUCAUUAGUUCGGACAAUUCUGUGCUUAUUUUUACUGAAUUAAACCCUAUUUACUGCCUGCUUACUUUGCUAGAUGAAACUGUUCACAAUAAAACACUGCUGAUUUUGUCAGAUUUCUUGACCAAUGAGUGUUAUACAGGACUAUCUUUGUUGAAACCUUUUUUCACAGAAGAAUUGAUCGGCCAGAUCUGCGUCUGGACUAACUGCGAGGAUGAUAUCGCUUGUCGGUUAGAUUCAGAGAAGUGCUUGAAGUUUCUUGAAAAGCGAUAUAAAGAUACUCUGGACUGCCUGUCGAAGAAGUCAAAGGAAUCUAUGCUCUUUGCAGACAAAACGCAGCUGAGUCUCCAUGCAUUCGAUAUUGUAGCUGAUUACUUGGGCUCAAAUUUAAGCAAGAUGCUGAAGAAGCAUUUGGGUAUAAUUGAAAAGACAGUCGGUGACCAAGCAGCGUUAUGUGCCAAAGAAAAUAUACUAGCCGAAUGUGCUAAGAAGUCGAAAUUGGACUCAGAUGGAAAGCAAGAAGUCUUGGAAGACUAUACCAAAUGCGGCGUCCCACUGACUAAAAUUUCCACCACGGGGGCAAAAAAAGUGAUGAAGACGAAGCUAAAGAAGGAAGUUGGUCAGAAAAGUGUGUCUUCUUUUUUCAAAAAAUGACUUUUUAUGUCAUUUUUUUUGAAGUUUGAAUGAAAGCUAAAUUGAUUUAAUUAUUUGAUCAAUCGCGUGAGUAAUUGUUUUGUUUUUAUUUAAUUGACGUGCAAUUCAUAAUUUGUUUA